rnacentral:rRNA from 1 species
CCCGCUGAACUUAAGCAUAUCAAUAAGCGGAGGAAAAGAAACUAACAAGGAUUCCCCUAGUAACUGCGAGUGAAGCGGGAAAAGCUCAAAUUUAAAAUCUGGCAGCCAUUUUACGGUUGUCCGAGUUGUAAUCUAGAGAAGUGCUUUCCGCGCUGGACCGUGUACAAGUCUCUUGGAAUAGAGCAUCAUAGAGGGUGAGAAUCCCGUCUUUGACACGGACUACCAGUGCUUUAUGUGAUGCGCUCUCAAAGAGUCGAGUUGUUUGGGAAUGCAGCUCAAAAUGGGUGGUGAACUCCAUCUAAAGCUAAAUAUUGGCGAGAGACCGAUAGCGAACAAGUACCGUGAGGGAAAGAUGAAAAGCACUUUGGAAAGAGAGUGAAACAGUACGUGAAAUUGUUGAAAGGGAAACGCUUGAAGUCAGUCGCGUCGUCCGAGACUCAGCCUCGCCUCGGCUUGGCGUACUUCUCGGCCCGACGGGUCAGCAUCAAUUUCGCCUCUCGGAUAAUGGCGAGGGAAAAGUGACACCUUUACGGUGUGUUAUAGUCUCUCGUCGCAUGCGAGGGUCGGGAUUGAGGGACUCAGCACGCGCCCUCGGGCGUCGGGGCUUUCGCCCACGAUACGUGCUUAGGAUGUUGGCGUAAUGGCUUUAAACGACCCGUCUUGAAACACGG